CAUCACUGUGCCCAGCGCUGGACAAACCCAUGUGUAUCACAGACUCAUCACAGAAUCACUCUGUAACUCAACCUGGUUAUUCCUUGGAGAUCCAGUGUCAUCCUCGUAUCCACAAUACUUCACAGGCCCCGACUACAAGCCAGAGAAACAGCAUGCUUUAUAUGGAGUCUCAUUUAAGCCCUUCAAUGAGUCUAGGAGGUAAAUGCUCUUACUCAUCUGUUCUGGCUAUUGAAAUAGCAUGCAGUCUACAGGUGAUAUAGGUGGGACUAGAACCCAGGCAGUCUCUCAGCUUCUGCCCUCCAGAUCCUAACUCCCACCCAGAUAGAGAGUGGGACAUUUGGGCAAUAGGAACCUGGCAUAGGACAGAGCCCAGCUGCACAGCAGGAC
rnacentral:lncRNA from 1 species